AGUGAACGCUGGCGGUAGGCCUAACACAUGCAAGUCGAACGGCAGCACAGUAAGAGCUUGCUCUUACGGGUGGCGAGUGGCGGACGGGUGAGGAAUACAUCGGAAUCUACUUUUUCGUGGGGGAUAACGUAGGGAAACUUACGCUAAUACCGCAUACGACCUACGGGUGAAAGCAGGGGAUCUUCGGACCUUGCGCGAUUGAAUGAGCCGAUGUCGGAUUAGCUAGUUGGCGGGGUAAAGGCCCACCAAGGCGACGAUCCGUAGCUGGUCUGAGAGGAUGAUCAGCCACACUAGAACUGAGACACGGUCCAGACUCCUACGGGAGGCAGCAGUGGGGAAUAUUGGACAAUGGGCGCAAGCCUGAUCCAGCCAUACCACGUGGGUGAAGAAGGCCUUCGGGUUGUAAAGCCCUUUUGUUGGGAAAGAAAAGCAGCAGGUUAAUACCCCGCUGUUCUGACGGUACCCAAAGAAUAAGCACCGGCUAACUUCGUG
rnacentral:rRNA from 1 species